rnacentral:rRNA from 1 species
GACGAACGCUUGCGGCGUGCUUAACACAUGCAAGUCGAACGGAAAGGCCCUGCUUUUGUGGGGUGCUCGAGUGGCGAACGGGUGAGUAACACGUGAGUAACCUGCCCUUGACUUUGGGAUAACUUCAGGAAACUGGGGCUAAUACCGGAUAGGAGCUCCUGCUGCAUGGUGGGGGUUGGAAAGUUUCGGCGGUUGGGGAUGGACUCGCGGCUUAUCAGCUUGUUGGUGGGGUAGUGGCUUACCAAGGCUUUGACGGGUAGCCGGCCUGAGAGGGUGACCGGCCACAUUGGGACUGAGAUACGGCCCAGACUCCUACGGGAGGCAGCAGUGGGGAAUAUUGCACAAUGGGCGGAAGCCUGAUGCAGCAACGCCGCGUGCGGGAUGACGGCCUUCGGGUUGUAAACCGCUUUCGCCUGUGACGAAGCGUGAGUGACGGUAAUGGGUAAAGAAGCACCGGCUAACUACGUGCCAGCAGCCGCGGUGAUACGUAGGGUGCGAGCGUUGUCCGGAUUUAUUGGGCGUAAAGGGCUCGUAGGUGGUUGAUCGCGUCGGAAGUGUAAUCUUGGGGCUUAACCCUGAGCGUGCUUUCGAUACGGGUUGACUUGAGGAAGGUAGGGGAGAAUGGAAUUCCUGGUGGAGCGGUGGAAUGCGCAGAUAUCAGGAGGAACACCAGUGGCGAAGGCGGUUCUCUGGGCCUUUCCUGACGCUGAGGAGCGAAAGCGUGGGGAGCGAACAGGCUUAGAUACCCUGGUAGUCCACGCUGUAAACGGUGGGUACUAGGUGUGGGGUCCAUUCCACGGGUUCCGUGCCGUAGCUAACGCUUUAAGUACCCCGCCUGGGGAGUACGGCCGCAAGGCUAAAACUCAAAGGAAUUGACGGGGCCCCGCACAAGCGGCGGAGCAUGCGGAUUAAUUCGAUGCAACGCGUAGAACCUUACCUGGGUUUGACAUGGAUCGGGAGUGCUCAGAGAUGGGUGUGCCUCUUUUGGGGUCGGUUCACAGGUGGUGCAUGCCUGUCGUCAGCUCGUGUCGUGAGAUGUUGGGUUAAGUCCCGCAACGAGCGCAACCCUUGUUCACUGUUGCCAGCACGUUAUGGUGGGGACUCAGUGGAGACCGCCGGGGUCAACUCGGAGGAAGGUGGGGAUGACGUCAAGUCCUCAUGCCCCUUAUGUCCAGGGCUUCACGCAUGCUACAAUGGCUGGUACAGAGAGUGGCGAGCCUGUGAGGGUGAGCGAAUCUCGGAAAGCCGGUCUCAGUUCGGAUUGGGGUCUGCAACUCGACCUCUUGAAGUCGGAGUCGCUAGUAAUCGCAGAUCAGCAACGCUGCGGUGAAUACGUUCCCGGG